rnacentral:tRNA from 1 species
GGGGAUAUAGCUCAGUUGGUAGAGUGCUUGUCUCACAUGCACAAGGCCCUGGGUUCAAUCCCCAGCAACUUCC